rnacentral:misc_RNA from 1 species
GUCAUUUCGGCUAUUGGUGGCUUGCCAUGCAUUUGAGCUUGGUUGGUGGCUGUUAGCUGGGUGGUUUCGGGGAUGUCUACCGUAAAGGUGCAUGAGUGGUGUUUGGUUUGUUACGGGUGGUUGGCUCUUUGCUUGCGCAACAACUUCCACCUGGCAUACCUCUUCAGUUUUGUGCCAAUGCUUUUUUUGCGUUGACCACAUUGUGGGUUUCUUGUAUUGCAUGCCUAAGCGAUGGUAUCGUUUGAUGUAUUGAUGACUAUUUUCGUCUUGUGUUGCUCAUGUGAUGCAAGGUGAACUUUAAUGCAUCCUUUGUGAUCCAUACUUUUGAUGUACAUGCAUCAAUUUUGUGGCUCAUUGAGUGUUUGCUUGGUCUCAUCGAUAUGGAACCUUGUGUGGGCAUGGGAUCUUUUGGUAGAUCCUUGUUUGCCCUAGUUAAGCUUUUCAAAUGCGAUCUCCUAUCAUGUUUUAGCGUGGUAGGUUAUAUCGAGUAUGAAUG